rnacentral:rRNA from 1 species
CAGUCGCCGCGGGAAUACGAAGGGUGCAAGCGUUACUCGGAAUUACUGGGCGUAAAGCGUGCGUAGGUGGUGGUUUAAGUCCGUUGUGAAAGCCCUGGGCUCAACCUGGGAAUUGCAGUGGAUACUGGGUCACUAGAGUGUGGUAGAGGAUAGUGGAAUUUCCGGUGUAGCAGUGAAAUGCGUAGAGAUCGGAAGGAACAUCUGUGGCGAAGGCGACUAUCUGGGCCAACACUGACACUGAGGCACGAAAGCGUGGGGAGCAAACAGGAUUAGAUACCCCAGUAGCCCCUGUCUCUUAUAC